CUCUGUGUUAGUGGCUGGCCUGGU
rnacentral:misc_RNA from 1 species